GACUCGUCACACUAUCAUUAACUGAAUCCAUAGGUUAAUGAGGCGAACCGGGGGAACUGAAACAUCUAAGUACCCCGAGGAAAAGAAAUCAACCGAGAUUCCCCCAGUAGCGGCGAGCGAACGGGGAGGAGCCCAGAGCCUGAAUCAGCAUGUGUGUUAGUGGAAGCGUCUGGAAAGGCGCGCGAUACAGGGUGACAGCCCCGUACACAAAAGCGCAUGUGCUGUGAGCUCGAUGAGUAGGGCGGGACACGUGGUAUCCUGUCUGAAUAUGGGGGGACCAUCCUCCAAGGCUAAAUACUCCUGACUGACCGAUAGUGAACCAGUACCGUGAGGGAAAGGCGAAAAGAACCCCGGCGAGGGGAGUGAAAAAGAACCUGAAACCGUGUACGUACAAGCAGUGGGAGCACCCUUUGGGGUGUGACUGCGUACCUUUUGUAUAAUGGGUCAGCGACUUAUAUUCUGUAGCA
rnacentral:rRNA from 1 species